GCCGAAGUAGCUCAGCUGGUUAGAGCGGAGCAUUCAUAACGCUCAGGUCGGCGGUUCGAGUCCGCCCUUCGGCA
rnacentral:tRNA from 1 species